GGGGAUGGGGGGCAGCUGAUGCAGCCAUGCCGCGUGAGUGAGAAGGUCUUCGGAUUGUAAAACUCUUUUUUUAGGGAAGAAAGUUUCGGGACCUGUACCUUAUUGUCUGUACCUUUCCAAUAAAGUACGCCUAAGUCUAUACCAUCACCCCCGGCAAUAUAAUAACUGUUUCGUCCAUGUCUAGCGCCCGACGUGCUACUGAACCUACGAUUCAAGCGAGUUCUCGUUGGGGGGGGAGCAGCCAUCCUUGACGGUCUUUCUCUUCAAUUUGGCCCCUAUAGUCAGGCUGGGUUAAUUCCGGUCCUCUUGUUACUACGGUAAUACGGCAUUCGAAUCGAACCCCGGGUGCGGGGGUGAUGAGGGGGAAGGGUUUUAGUGUGAGGUUU
rnacentral:rRNA from 1 species